AUGAAUACAAUAAUAAUAUUAUCUCUGUGGUUGAUCGAGAAUAUGAAAUGCCAUACAUACCUAUAUAGACCAAUGAAUCAAUGAAUGAAUCAUUGAUUCUAAACGUUUUUAUUAACGAUCUCCAAAUUGGAUACCUAUACAUUUUUUUCGUCACGCUGAAGUAUGUUUUUAUUUUCCAUAUACCUACGCACUUCGUAAUAAAUUACGUAGGUUACUCACUCAUCCAGAAGAUGGAAAUCAUCGUACAUACGAGGUUUUUUUUCCUAUUGAAGUUUUGUAAUUGACACUGUUAACCGCAAAAUUAUAUUUUCCUUUUAGCUGUCUAGACUAAUACAGAGAGCCGAGGGUUUG